rnacentral:rRNA from 1 species
GACGAACGCUGGCGGCGUGCUUAACACAUGCAAGUCGAACGGAAAGACCCUGCUUUUGUGGGGUGCUCGAGUGGCGAACGGGUGAGUAACACGUGAGUAACCUGCCCUUGACUUUGGGAUAACUUCAGGAAACUGGGGCUAAUACCGGAUAGGAGCUCCUGCUGCAUGGUGGGGGUUGGAAAGUUUCGGCGGUUGGGGAUGGACUCGCGGCUUAUCAGCUUGUUGGUGGGGUAGUGGCUUACCAAGGCUUUGACGGGUAGCCGGCCUGAGAGGGUGACCGGCCACAUUGGGACUGCGAGACGGCCCAGACUCCUACGGGAGGCAGCAGUGGAGAAUAUUGCACAAUGGGCGGAAGCCUGAUGCAGCAACGCCGCGUGCGGGAUGACGGCCUUCGGGUUGUAAACCGCUUUCGCCUGUGACGAAGCGUGAGUGACGGUAAUGGGUAAAGAAGCACCGGCUAACUACGUG